rnacentral:rRNA from 1 species
CAGCCGCCACGGUAAUACGGAGGGGGCUAGCGUUGUUCGGAAUUACUGGGCGUAAAGCGCACGUAGGCGGCUUGGUAAGUUAGAGGUGAAAGCCUGGAGCUCAACUCCAGAAUUGCCUUUAAGACUGCCGAGCUAGCAGGUGAGAGAGGUAAGUGGAAUUCCGAGUGUAGAGGUGAAAUUCGUAGAUAUUCGGAAGAACACCAGUGGCGAAGGCGGCUUACUGGCUCAUACUGGACGCUGAGGUGCGAAAGCGUGGGGAGCAAACAGGAUUAGAGACCCGCGUAGUCCCUGUCUCUUAUAC